rnacentral:rRNA from 1 species
CAGUCGCCGCGGUAAUACGAAGGGGGCUGGCGUUGUUCGGAAUCACUGGGCGUAAAGGGUGCGUAGGCGGGAUCUUAAGUCAGGGGUGAAAUCCCGAGGCUCAACCUCGGAACUGCCUUUGAUACUGGGGUCCUUGAGUCCGGAAGAGGUGAGUGGAACUGCGAGUGUAGAGGUGAAAUUCGUAGAUAUUCGCAAGAACACCGGUGGCGAAGGCGGCUCACUGGUCCGGAACUGACGCUGAGGCACGACAGCGUGGGGAGCAAACAGGAUUAGAUACCCCAGUAGUCCCUGUCUCUUAUAC